GAGUUUGAUCGUGGCUCAGGAUGAACGCUGGCGGCGUGCCUAAUACAUGCAAGUCGAGCGAACGGACGAGAAGCUUGCUUCUCUGAUGUUAGCGGCGGACGGGUGAGUAACACGUGGAUAACCUACCUAUAAGACUGGGAUAACUUCGGGAAACCGGAGCUAAUACCGGAUGAUAUUUUGAACCGCAUGGUUCAAAAGUGAAAGACGGUCUUGCUGUCACUUAUAGAUGGAUCCGCGCUGCAUUAGCUAGUUGGUAAGGUAACGGCUUACCAAGGCAACGAUGCAUAGCCGACCUGAGAGGGUGAUCGGCCACACUGGAACUGAGACACGGUCCAGACUCCUACGGGAGGCAGCAGUAGGGAAUCUUCCGCAAUGGGCGAAAGCCUGACGGAGCAACGCCGCGUGAGUGAUGAAGGUCUUCGGAUCGUAAAACUCUGUUAUUAGGGAAGAACAUAUGUGUAGUAACUGUGCACAUCUUGACGGUACCUAAUCAGAAAGCCACGGCUAACUAC
rnacentral:rRNA from 1 species